UAACAACACCAACAGAGGUGUAACAACACAUACAGAGGUGUAACAACACAUACAGAGAUGUAACAACACCAACAGAGAUGUAACAACACCAACAGAGAUGUAACAACACCAACAGAGAUGUAACAACACCAACAGAGAUGUAACAACACCAACAGAGGUGUAACAACACCAACAGAGGUGUAACAACACCAACAGAGGUGUAACAACACCAACAGAGGUGUAACAACACCAACAGAGGUGUAACAACACCAACAGAGGUGUAACAACACCAACAGAGGUGUAACAACACCAACAGAGGUGUAACAACACCAACAGAGAUGUAACAACACCAACAGAGGUGUAACAACACCAACAGAGGUGUAACAACACCAACAGAGGUGUAACAACACCAACAGAGGUGUAACAACACCAACAGAGGUGUAACAACACCAACAGAGGUGUAACAACACCAACAGAGGUGUAACAACACCAACAGAGGUGUAACAACACCAACAGAGGUGUAACAACACCAACAGAGGUGUAACAACGCCAACAGAGAUGUAACAACACCAACAGAGAUGUAACAACACCAACAGAGAUGUAACAACACCAACAGAGGUGUAACAACACCAACAGAGGUGUAACAACACCAACAGAGGUGUAACAACACCAACAGAAGUGUAACAACACCAACAGAGACGGAUUCAAGUUGCAACAGUGGUCAAAAGACGCAAAAGUCCCUCGUUUGUUGUGCACACUUUACCGACGACAGCUAUGCUACGACAGAGAUGGCAAGAAUGUGUGGAUAUCCUGCGACACUCAAACAAAUGCAUUUCCAACGAUAAAGUCAACGAAAUCACAAAGUUGAGUUUUGUUGAUGUUAUUGACUUAUGUGCUAAUCAGACAUAUUUGGUCACGGCAUGACUGCAAGCUAAUCGAUGCUAACAUGCUAUGUAGGCUAGCUGUAUGUACAUAUUGCAUCAUUAUGCCUCAUUUGUAGCUAUAUUUGCAUCCUGUCUUUCCCUCCACUUACAUUUAAUGCCAAACAAACACAUACCAAUCGUUGGUUAGAAGGCGAUCGCCGAAUUCGUCCUCGCUUCCUCCCGUGCCGCUGUCUGUCGUGAUAUGGCUUUAAUUUCCUUUUCGGUACCUGCCUCCACACUCCAACCAUCCGUUUCAAUACAUGCGUAAUCCGCUGAAUCGCUUACGGCACUGAAAUCCGAGUCUGAAUCCGAGCUACUGUGCUAUACCUUUCUGUGCUAUCCGCCAUGUUUGUUUUUGGUGGCUUCCCGCAGUGACGUCACAGGACAAUAGACGGGUGGAUGUAGCGAUGGUGUGAAUCAGGCACUUUGAAGCCGUUUUUCGGGAUAUUGCGUAAUGGGUAAAAUUUUGAGAAAAACUUCGAAAAAUAAAAUAAGCCACUGGGAACUGAUUUUUAUUGGUUUUAACCAUUCAGAAAUUGUGAUAAUAUUCCCCUUUAAAAUUCAAAAUUCAACCGAAAAAUUAAGAGAAAAACUAGCUAAUUCGAAUAUUUUUGAAAAAAUUAAAAAAAUAAUUUUUGGAACAUCAUUAGUAAUUUUUCCUGAUUAAGAUUAAUUUUGGAAUUUUGAUGACAUGUUUUAAAUAGGUUAGAAUAUAUAACAAAUUGGACCAAGCUAUAUUUCUAACAAAGAUAAAUCAUUAUUUCUUCUAGAUUUACCAGAACAAAAAUUUUAAAAUAAAUUCUAAACACUUUAAAAUAAGAUCUAAAUUUGAUUUGUCAAGAAUAAUUUUUUACAUUUUUAAUCAUAAUACGUUUGAAGAAAUAUUUCACAAAUAUUCUUUGUCGAAAAAACAGAAGCUAAAAUUCAAUUUCGACUCUUUAAAAUUCAAAAUUCAACCGGAAAAAAAAAGAGAAAAAACUAGCUAAUUCAAAUCUUUUUGAAAAAAUUUAAAAAAGAAUUCAUGGAACAUCAUUAGUAUUUUUUCCUGAUUAAGAUACAUUUUAAAAUGUUGAUGACAUGUUUUAAAUAGGUUAAAAUCCAAUCAGCACUUUGUUAGAAUAUUUAACAAAUUGGACCAAGCUAUAUUUCUUACAAAGACAAAUCAUUAUUUCUUCUAGAUUUUCCAGAACUUUAAAAUAAAUUCAAAUGACUUUGAAAUAAGAUUUAAAUUUGAUUCUACAGAUUUUCUAGAUUUGCCAGAAUAUAUUUUUUUUAAUUUUAAUCAUAAUAAGUUUGAAGAAAUAUUUCACAUAUAUUCUUCGUCGAAAAAACAGAAGCUAAAAUGAAGAAUUACAUUAAAAUGUAUUCAUUAUUCUUUACAAUAAAAAAAAAAAAUUCACUUGAACAUCGAUUUAAAUUGUCAGGAAAGAAGAGGAAGGAAUUUAAAAGGUAAAAAUGUAUACGUGUUUAAAAAUCCUAAAAUAAUUUUUAAGGUUGGAUUUUUUCUCUAAAAUUGUCUUUCUGAAAGUUAUAAAAAGCAAAGUAAAAAAAUAAAUGAAUUUAUCUAAACAAGUGAAGACCAAGUCUUUAAAAUAUUUUCUCGGAUUUUCAAAUUCUAUUGGAGUUUUGUCUCUCUUAGAAUUAAAAAUGUCCAGCAAAACGAGACCAGCUUGCUAGUAAAUAAAUACAAUUUAAAAAAUAGAGGCAGCUCACUGGUAAGUGCUGCUAUUUGAGCUAUUUCUAGAACAGACCUGGCGACCUGGUUGGUGACCCCUGAUGUACAAUCUCUCCCACUUAAGGCGUCCUUCUCACUCCUUACAGUAUCAAACUACGUUCACACUGCAGGGCAGAUGUCCAAUCUGAUGUUUUUAUGGAGUCGUUGACGUUUCUAUAAAAACCAAAAAAAGUCCAACGCAAUCCGACCCGCCCUCGCCGUCUCCACGCCACACAAACAUGGCUCCCGUUCACAUGUGUUCAACCUCGACAUUUUUUUACCGGGCGGAGACGAUUAAGAAGGAAGAAGUUAAACAUGCUUCAAUAACACCACUUUUUUUGUUUUAUUCUAAAAUACAUUUUCGCACUUUUGUCAAAACGUCCCCGAACUUUUCUCAUUUGUUUGUGCUGCAAUUAUUUUGUAUAUUUUUUGUUAUGAUUGAUAGUUUGAAUAUUAUAAUUUAUUUAUUUUGUAUGUUAUUGUUAGUUUUGUGAUUCAAACAUUUAUCGUCUUUUAUCAUUUUAAUGUUAACAUUUUAUUAUUCAUAACCAGUCGCCCUUAAAUCUCCCUCAAUGUUUGUGUUGCAAUUUUUUUUAUUUUUUUUUUAUUGUGGUAAUAGUCUGUGAUGCAAAAAAUGUUAGUCUAUUAUAAUUUUAAUGUUAUUAAUGUGUUAUUAGUCUGCGAUAAAAAAAUGUUAAUCUAUUAUCAUUUUAAUGUUAACAUUUUAUUAUUCAUAACCAGUCCGCCCACCUUGUCAAAACCUUCCUAAAUGUUUGUGCUACAAUUGUUUUUGUCUAUUAUAGUUUUUGUUAUUAAUGUGUUAAUAGUCUGUGAUACAAAUAUUAUUAGUCUAUUAUAGUUUUAAUGUUAACAUUUUAUUAUUCAUAACCAGUCCCCCACCUUGUCAAAACCUCCCUAAACGUUUGUGCUACAAUUGUUUUUGUCUAUUAUAGUUUUUGUUAUUAAUGUGUUAAUAGUCUGUGAUACAAAUAUUAUUAGUCUAUUAUAGUUUUAAUGUUAACAUUUUAUUAUUCAUAACCAGUCCCCCACCUUGUCCAAAUCUCCCUCAACGUUUGUGCUACAAUUAUUUGUCUAUUAUAGUAUUUAUUAUUAAUGUGUUAUUAACAUGUUAUUACUUUAUGCUGCAAAAUUCUUAGUCUAUCAUAAUUUUUAUGUUAACAUUUUUAAUAUUCAUAACCAGUCCCCCACCUUGUCAAAACCUCCCUAAACGUUUGUGCUACAAUUAUUUGUCUAUUAUAGUAUUUAUUAUUAAUGUGUUAUUAACAUGUUAUUACUUUAUGCUGCAAAAUUCUUGGUCCAUCAUAAUUUUUAUGUUAACAUUUUAAUAUUCCUAACGAGUCCCCCACCUUGUCAAAACCUCCCUAAACGUUUCUGCUACAAUUGUUUUGUCUAUUAUAGUUUUUGUUAUUAAUGUGUUAUUAAUGUGUUAAUAGUCUGUGAUACAAAUAUUGUUAUUCUAUUAUAGUUUUAAUGUUAACAUUUUAUUUUUCAUAACCAGUCCCUAAACGUUUGUGCUACAAUUUUUUGUCUAUUAUAGUGUUUGUUAUUAAUGUGUUAUUAACAUGUUAUUACUUUAUGCUGCAAAAUUCUUAGUCCAUCAUAAUUUUUAUGUUAACAUUUUAUUCUUCAUAACCAGUCCCCCCUUGUCAAAAUCUGCCUAAACGUUUCUGCUACCAUUUUUUGUCUAUUAUAGUUUUUGUUAUUAAUGUGUUAUUAACAUGUUAUUACUUUAUGCUGCAAAAUUCUUAGUCCAUCAUAAUUUUUAUGUUAACAUUUUAUUCUUCAUAACCAGUCCCCCACCUUGUCAAAAUCUCCCUCAACGUUUGUGCUACAAUUAUUUGUCUAUUAUAGUAUUUAUUAUUAAUGUGUUAUUAACAUGUUAUUACUUUAUGCUGCAAAAUUCUUAGUCCAUCAUAAUUUUUUAUGGUAACAUUUUUAAUAUUCCUAACGAGUCCCCCACCUUGUCAAAACCUCCCUAAACGUUUCUGCUACAAUUUUUUUGUCUAUUAUAGUUUUUAUGUUAUUAAUGUGUUAUUAAUGUGUUGAUAGUCUGUCAUACAAAUAUUGUUAGUCUAUUAUAGUUUCAAUGUUAACAUUUUAUUUUUCUUAACCGGUCCCCCACCUUGUCAAAAUAUCCCUAAACAUUUGUGCUACAAUUAUUGUCUGCUAGUUUUUAUGUUAUUAAUGUGUUAUUAACAUGUUAAUAGUCUGUGAUACAAAUAUUGUUAGUCUAUUACAGUUUUAAUGUUAACAUUUUAUUAUUCAUAACCAGUCCCUAAACGUUUGUGCUACAAUUUUUUGUCUAUUAUGGUGUUUGUUAUUAAUGUGUUAUUAACAUGUUAUUACUUUAUGCUGCAAAAUUCUUAGUCCGUCAUAAUAUUAACAUUUUAUUCUUCAUAACGAGUCCCCCACCUUGUCAAAAUCUCCCUAAACGUUUUUGCUACAAUUUUUUUUGUCUAUUAUAUUUUUUAUGUUAUUGUGUUAUUAACAUGUUAAUAGUCUGCGAUACAAAUAUUGUUAGUCUAUUAUAGUUUUAAUGUUAACAUUUUAUUAUUCAUAACCAGCCCCCCACCUUGUCCAAACCUCCCUAAACGUUUGUGCUACAAUUUUUUGUGUAUUAUAUUUGUUAUUAAUGUGUUAUUAACAUGUUAUUAAUGUGUGCUGCAAAAUUCUUAGUCUACCGUAGUUUUUAUGUUAAUAUUUUAUUAUUCAUAACCAGUCCCCCACCUUGUCAAAACCUCCCUGAACAUUUGGGCUACAAUAUUAUUUUUUUUGGUCCAACUAUUAUCGGUUUCACGUUAUCGUGUUAACGCGUUCCUAGUUUGUGUUGCAAACAUCUUUUGUUAGCAUUUCAUUUUUCACAGCCAACUCCCCAUCAUUUCAAAACCUCCCUAAAAAUGUCUCAAAAGUUAGUGCUAUUUUUGUUGCACUUUAUUUUUAACGUCAUCCCAACUUUUCCCCCAAAUAUACCCCGGUUUUCGGUUGCCGUACGGCCGAACAUUGCAGGGAACAAACUAGACUGUUGGCGCCAAAGAAUCACACUUUUUUGAGGUCGAGUCUAUGACCUAAAAUGAUCAUCCUCGAAGAAAAUGUGUAAAUGAUUGAUAAACAAUGAAGAAAAGUCUGUAUAUCCUGAAGGACAUGUUCAUUGUUACUGACACCAGUUGUAGUCUUGCUAAAUCAAAAUGUUGUUCCGGCGAACAUCCUAAGGGACGUCCUCUGUAAAAGACAAAAAUUCUGUUUAGAAAUGUUUGUUUUAUGUUCUUGCUGUCACCUCUGCAACCUCUAAUUUGAUCUAUUUGGGUUAAAAUUAUUUUUUGUAAGCCAGUAACUAUAGUCUGCAAAUGAUG